GUGAUGUUGGCACUCCUCCAUUGAGAGGUAGGGUCUAUUCCCUCCUCUUGAACCUGGACAGACUUUUGUGGUUGCCACAACCAAUAGGAUACUGUGGAAGUGAAGGUGUGUGGCUUCCAAGACUAGGUUAUAAAAGGCAUUGCAGCUUCCACCUUGGCCUCUCGGGUAACUCACUGCAAAAGCCAGCCACCAUGUCACGAAGACGCUCGAGCAGCUCCGUGGAGAGGUGCAUGGGGAGAGGAGCUGAGGCCCCCAUCCUACAGCCGGCACUGACUUGACAGCUGUAGAAUUCAUGGAUGAUCCUGUGAAUAACAGCUCCUGGUGGCGAAUUUGAAACUUUGUUUUUAAAGAUGACAGUUUGUCACGGACAAAGAUGAUCAGACCUUUAUCGUUGGGUAGAGAGGGCUGUCCACUCUUCUCUGAGAAGUCCCAGCAUUUUGGUCACAACACUGAGCCCUCCCAGCCGGCCGGCCAGUGGGGGCCACGUCCAGAGGCUGUGUCCCCAAACUACCCCUGAUCAAAACUGGCAGGCAGGGGAGACUCCAGGAUCGCCAGAGGGAGGUGGUCAUCUCUGAGGAGUGGUCUUGGGCCCGGUCCCCAACCUGCAUCUCCAAAGCCAGCACAGUUUCACUUCCACUGUAGGGUAAAAAUCAGCAGGUGUUAUGGGCUGAAAUGGUGUCCCCCAAAUUCACAUUUUGAAAUUUUAAACCCCUGGUACCUCAGAACAUGACUCUAUUUGGAGACAGGGUCUUUAAAGAGGUAAUCAAGGUAAGAUGAGGUCAUAGGGUGGGCCCUAAUCCAAUACAACUUGUGUCCUUAUGGGAAGAGGAGAUGAGGACGCAGACAGGCACAGAGGGAGCCACAUGAAGACAAAGAGGAGAAGAGAGGCCUCGGAAGACACCAACCCUGUCAACACCUUGAUCUCAGACUUGGAGCCCCCAGGACGGUGAGGAAAUCCAUUUCUGCUGUGGAAGCCAUCUCGACAGUGGUACUGUUAUGGCCUCCUGAGUGAACGAACACACCCAGUUUCCUAGAGACACACUUUAAUGUAAGAUGGACAAAAUGGCCUUUGUACACAGCAAAGACUAUUACCUACUGGUGGUGGCUCAGAGGUAUGGGGCUGGUGGUGGUUAUGGGGGCCUUGGGUACCCCUACCCCCUGAGGUGCCACCACCGCAGGCUGCAUGUUAGCAUCCCUGGCCUUUCCAGCAGGCAAGGUGGAGAAGUAAUGUCAGCACCCACCCAGCAUGAGGAGCACCCAGGACUUGCCUCGCCAUGUGGCUUCCAAUUAACCUGUCAAGACUGCAGCCCUGUGUGAAGCUGCAGCCGGGCCCUGAGGCCUCCACCUGGUCUUGCCAGGCCUGUCUCCAGGGACCAUUUGGGACCCUGACACUCCUCUCAGUUCUCUGACUCCCAGACCACCUCUCCCAUCUCUGUCACCAGAGAUUCUGGCUGCUAAGUUUUGACUCCCCACCGCCAUCAGACCCUGGAGCGUGGUUGCUGGUCUGGGGGAGAUUGCCCGUCUCCACAUCCAUGCCCUUAGCCAAGCUUGAAGCCCUGGGCAUUCUUCCUCUCAGAGGCCACACCCCUCAAACGUAUCCAAAAGCAGCCACGUGCCACAUCACAUAUAAUUUUCAUAAACUAUAGGCGCUGAGUUGCAAUUGUCUAGUCAACCUUUUGUAGACAUUUAAUCAUUUCAUCCUUACAGCAUACUUUCCUAAUUUUAGAGCUGGUAAUGAUCCUGGCUGUGGCUCAGGUGUUUCCAUGGAUGUUUGAAAAGCUGGCUGGCCCUGGGCACCAGCUGUGGACCCAGCUGUGGGUAGUCCCGAGGGCCCUUCCCAGGAGGUACCAGCAUGCACUGGGUGUGCCUGACCCAAGAGGAGCCCUCCCAGCACCUGGUGGCCAGUUGCGAUGCCCCACCCCCCUUCCAGUGCUGCAGGGGAGAAGGAGGGGCACUUUUC
rnacentral:lncRNA from 1 species